UACGGGGGGGGCAAGCGUUGUUCGGAAUUACUGGGCGUAAAGGGCGCGUAGGCGGAUAGUUUAGUCAGAGGUGAAAGUCCGGGGCUCAACUCCGGAUCUGCGGUGGGUACGGGCAGACUAGAGUGAUGUAGGGGAGACUGGAAUUCCUGGUGUAGCGGUGAAAUGCGCAGAUAUCAGGAGGAACACCGAUGGCGAAGGCAGGUCUCUGGGCAUUAACUGACGCUGAGGAGCGAAAGCAUGGGGAGCGAACAGG
rnacentral:rRNA from 1 species